rnacentral:rRNA from 1 species
ACGUAGGGGGCGAGCGUUGUCCGGAUUUAUUGGGCGUAAAGAGCUCGUAGGCGGCUCGGCAAGUUAGGUGUGAAACCUCCAGGCUCAACCUGGAGUCGCCACCUGAUACUGCCGUGGCUAGAGUCCGGUAGGGGAACACGGAAUUCCCGGUGUAGCGGUGAAAUGCUUAGAUAUCGGGAGGAACACCAGUGGCGAAGGCGGUGUUCUGGGCCGGAACUGACGCUGAGGAGCGAAAGCGUGGGUAGCAAACAGGA